GUCCCUGUAGGGCAAUGGAUAGCGCGUUGAUCUUCUAAUCCAAAGGUCGUGGGUUCGAAUCCCAUCUGGGAUG
rnacentral:tRNA from 1 species